UUUCUUCCUUAGUAAUAGAAUCCACUAUUUUUUGUAGAGCAUUUAACCACCCAGAAUAAAGAUGACACAUCCCAGUCUCUCUUGCAGCUAGGUGUGAUCAGGUGACUAAGUGCUGGCCAACAGUAUAUACUUGGAAGUCUUUCUUCUCCUCUUCUCCCUUCUUGCUGGCUGGAAUGUGUAUGUGAUGAGUGAAGUUUGAACAUCCAUAUUGCACUACAAGAUGAAGACCGCAUGCUAAAAAUGGUGGAGCAGCAAGACGGAAGUCUCCUGUAUCCCUGAUGAUUUUGUGAAGCCACCACUCCACCCUUGCACUGCCUAGCUCUGGAUUUAUUUUAUACAGUGCUACUCCAGUGUGGUGGUCCUCACAGUGUGGUCCUG
rnacentral:lncRNA from 1 species